rnacentral:rRNA from 1 species
UGGGGAAUCUUCCGCAAUGGACGAAAGUCUGACGGAGCAACGCCGCGUGAGUGAAGAAGGUUUUCGGAUCGUAAAGCUCUGUCUUUUGGGACGAAUGUGCUCUUUGUGAAUAAUGAAGAGUAAUGACGGUACCGAAGGAGGAAGCCACGGCUAACUACGUGCCAGCAGCCGCGGUAAUACGUAGGUGGCAAGCGUUGUCCGGAAUUAUUGGGCGUAAAGCGCGCGCAGGCGGAAUAAUAAGUCUGUCGUGAAAGUGCGGGGCUCAACCCCGUGAUUGCAAUGGAAACUGUUAUUCUUGAGUGCAGGAGAGGAAAGUGGAAUUCCUAGUGUAGCGGUGAAAUGCGUAGAUAUUAGGAGGAACACCAGUGGCGAAGGCGACUUUCUGGACUGUGUCUGACGCUGAGGCGCGAAAGCCAGGGUAGUGAACG